UGGUUGUGCAAUGUCAGCGUCUAGAA
rnacentral:piRNA from 1 species